CUCUACCGUGAGCCGGGUUUCUCAACUGCGGGGCUGCUGACCCAAACAGGAGCCGAGCAGGCAGAAAGCUGGAGUCACGUGAUCCUCUGUGGCUCCCCUCACCUGUCCCUCGCCCAGGGGCUUCAUGAGGUUAUAACUCCCCCACCCACUGGAGCAUCUGCACAGCGCCACCACCUGGUCAGAAUAAGUUUUUAUUUCUCACUUCACUCACAACAUUUCUGUAAAUCUGAUUUUUUAAGAUAAUCAACUCGUCAAUCAAAGUAACUCAGUUAAAUUGAGACAAACGCCUGUUUAUUUACUUUUUUCUGGGGGGGGGGUCACAUCUUUCACCUGCUGUGUAGAAAUCUAUAAAUAGAUCAAUUUAAAAAAUCCCCUCAAAAAAGAAAAAUAAAUAAAAAAAAAAAAAGAAAAAAAAAAAAAAAAGUUAUUUUGCUUCUGAAGCACAAAUUUAGACGAUGAAAAAGUUUUGCUUAUUUCAGCUGGAAUAAAAUCCUGAAUCCCAGCGUGAUGAAAAGUUGAUUGUUCCCAAAACGCGACCCAUGAGGGGAGCCACCAAAAACCUGCAGGUGUGACGUCGGUCUCAGCUUAUUGAUGACCUCAUGGUCACUCAGCAAAUCAGCGAGUGAGGGACAGCGACCCGUCUCUUCUGUCCUCAGCCCAAACAUCUCUGUCCAAAUUUAUAUGAAAUUAAUUCUCUUUACAAAAAUUAACCAACAGUUGAAUGUGAGUUAAAUGAACCUGACUCUAAUCACUCAAAUGUACUGAUCUGUGUAAUUUCGGAUGAUCAGAUUUGUUUUCAAAGCAAACACUGAUUGUUAUUGAUAUGCAGGCUUAAAAAAAAAACGACGUUUUCAGGAUGAUUCCUUGGGUCGUUUCCCAGCAUGCACUUGGACACUGAAUGCUAAAACUGUGCAGGAGAAAAAAAAGAAAAAUAAAACGCUGACAUCUGUAAUGCUGUACAAACUCCUCCCACAUUAAAUACAAUGACCAAAUAAAUUAAAGAGAAAAUCAUAAAUAUCUGACUGUCUGUGGACGGACAGUUCCAGGAAUUAGCCCCGGCCCGGCCGCUGACCUCCUCACAGCUGUUUGUUUACAUCAUAAA